AUUCUGCCCAUGCGGGGAAGGAUGAGAAGCUUCGACUAAGGUUCGGCUCGAGCGUCAGCGAGAGAGCGUUGCCGCAGGCAACGACCCGAAGGGCGAAGCGCGCAGCGCUGAGUAAUCCUUCCCCACCACCA
rnacentral:sRNA from 1 species